rnacentral:sRNA from 1 species
UAUUUAUAAGAUCUUUGAUACAUGCAAAAUAUUGGAAAACAAUGUCCGAACAUAUAAUGUUCGCCCCAAAAUAUAGCAAAGACCACAAAAAUGCCAUAAAAAAUACAUUAAGGUCAAAAUUUGGAGUAGGAAAAAAAUCAAUAGGAGAAUUCCAUUUUCCUUCCCUCAUUCAUCGGAGAGCUCUCUUUGGGCAUUCCAAAAAGGUAUCACAUGCCAAGUUUGGCCUCACGGUCUAAAAGUUAUAGAGUAUUACAUUUUUAACAAAAAAAA